rnacentral:lncRNA from 13 species
CACAGCACUCUUACUCCCACACCACUCUUACUCCCACAGCACUCUUACUCUCACAGCACUCUUACUCCCACAGCACUCUUACUCCCACACCACUCUUACUCCCACACCACUCUUACUCCCACACUCGUAAUCCCACACUCUUACUCCCACAGUCUAAAUCCCACACUCUUACCCCCACAAUCUUACUCCCAAAGUCUUACUCCCAAACCACUGUUACUCCCACACCACUCUCACUCCCACACUCGUAAUCCCCCACUCUUACUUCCACAGUCUAAAUCCCACACUCUUACUCCCACACUCUUACUCCCACAGUCUUAAUCUGACAGUUUUACUCCCACACUCCCACACGCUAACUCUCACACUCGUACACUCACACUGUUACACCCACACUCUCACACCACUCUUACUCCCACAUCACUCUAACAACAACUAUCUUACUCCCACAAUCUUACUCCCACAACAAUCUUACUCCCACACUCUUACUCCCACACCACUCUUACUCCCACACCACUCUAACAACAACAAUCUUACUCCCCAAAUCUUACUCCCACACAAAUCUUACUCCCACACUCUUACUCCCACAGUGUUAAUACCACACCCUUACACCCAAACUCUCACACUCUCACACUCAUACUACCACACCACUCUUACUCCCACACCACUCUUACUCCCACACCACCCUUACUCCCACACCACUCUUACUCCCACACCACUCUUUCUCCCACACCACUCUUACNNNNNNNNNNCACAGCACUCUUACUCCCACACCACUCUUACUCCCACAGCACUCUUACUCUCACAGCACUCUUACUCCCACAGCACUCUUACUCCCACACCACUCUUACUCCCACACCACUCUUACUCCCACACUCGUAAUCCCACACUCUUACUCCCACAGUCUAAAUCCCACACUCUUACCCCCACAAUCUUACUCCCAAAGUCUUACUCCCAAACCACUGUUACUCCCACACCACUCUCACUCCCACACUCGUAAUCCCCCACUCUUACUUCCACAGUCUAAAUCCCACACUCUUACUCCCACACUCUUACUCCCACAGUCUUAAUCUGACAGUUUUACUCCCACACUCCCACACGCUAACUCUCACACUCGUACACUCACACUGUUACACCCACACUCUCACACCACUCUUACUCCCACAUCACUCUAACAACAACUAUCUUACUCCCACAAUCUUACUCCCACAA